rnacentral:rRNA from 1 species
UACGUAGGGUGCGAGCGUUGUCCGGAAUUAUUGGGCGUAAAGAGCUUGUAGGCGGUUUGUCGCGUCUGCCGUGAAAAUCCGGGGCUCAACCCCGGACUUGCGGUGGGUACGGGCAGACUAGAGUGUGGUAGAGGAGACUGGAAUUCCUGGUGUAGCGGUGAAAUGCGCAGAUAUCAGGAGGAACACCGAUGGCGAAGGCAGGUCUCUGGGCCACUACUGACGCUGAGAAGCGAAAGCGUGGGGAGCGAACAGG